rnacentral:rRNA from 1 species
GGUUGACCUCAGAUCAGGUAGGAAUACCCGCUGAACUUAAGCAUAUCAAUAAGCGGAGGAAAAGAAACCAACAGGGAUUGCCCUAGUAACGGCGAGUGAAGCGGCAACAGCUCAAAUUUGAAAUCUGGCCUCACGGUCCGAAUUGUAAUUUGUAGAGGAUGUUUCUGGCGACGUGUCUUCCGAGUUCCCUGGAACGGGACGCCAUAGAGGGUGAGAGCCCCGUCCGGUCGUACACCUAGCCUCUGUGAAACUCCUUCGACGAGUCGAGUAGUUUGGGAAUGCUGCUCUAAAUGGGAGGUAUACGUCUUCUAAAGCUAAAUACCGGCCAGAGACCGAUAGCGCACAAGUAGAGUGAUCGAAAGAUGAAAAGCACUUUGAAAAGAGGGUUAAAUAGUACGUGAAAUUGCUGAAAGGGAAGCGCUUAUGACCAGACUUGGGCUCGGUGAAUCAUCCGGCGUUCUCGCCGGUGCACUUUGCCGUCCCAGGCCAGCAUCAGUUCGCGCCGGGGGAUAAAGGUUUCGGGAAUGUAGCUCCCUCGGGAGUGUUAUAGCCCGUUGCGUAAUACCCUGGCGUGGACUGAGGUCCGCGCUCUGCAAGGAUGCUGGCGUAAUGGUCAUCAGUGACCCGUCUUGAAACACGGACCAAGGAGUCGUCUUCGUAUGCGAGUGUUCGGGUGUCAAACCCCUACGCGUAAUGAAAGUGAACGUAGGAGAGAGCUUCGGCGCAUCUCCGACCGAUCCUGAUGUUCUCGGAUGGAUUUGAGUAAGAGCAUACGGGGCCGGACCCGAAAGAAGGUGAACUAUGCCUGUAUAGGGUGAAGCCAGAGGAAACUCUGGUGGAGGCUCGCAGCGGUUCUGACGUGCAAAUCGAUCGUCAAAUAUGGGC